rnacentral:lncRNA from 1 species
GUAAGUAAACAACGAUUAUUUGAUGAUUAAGAAGGUUAGGACUUUUAUCUUCCUGGGAUUGAAAGAGUUACGCAACAAAACAAUAUAUCGAAUAUCCUUCACCACAUCCUCGUAAGUCAGAAUUCUUCCUGACAACAACAUUGUCUAACAAAUAAUUGUUCAUUUAGAAUGUCUAGUUAUUGCACUACAAAUCAAAGUACUAGAUUGUAGCCCGCGAUUUACAGAGGAUAAAUGAGUCGGAAGGAACCAAAUUGGGUGACCAUCAAUAGGUGGUGACCAUUUUGCUGUGUAGUAUACAACCGUAGUCAAGACCUGCAACAAUAAAUGUUAGAGAUCAAUGUAAGAAAAGAAAAAAAUCUCAAAAACAAACAUAACCAUUGGGUAAUACUUACAUUAUCUCAAGCCACACACCAGGAAGUAAAGUUUGUAAGUCCUUACGCUUCAAACUCAUAACUCUAUUUUCAAAUAGAACCUCCUGGAGAGAAAAACCUUCCAAAAAAUGUAGCAUCCAACUGCCGCUUCUUGUUCUGAUAAUACAACCCAUGUUGGUAUAGCAGUCUUUGGUCCGAUAAACUAUUUGACAUUUGGACAGUUAAUUAUAAGUUUGAAAAGAAAAGUGCAAGUGAAUUGAGAAGUCAAGAAAAAUAUCUCCCCAAGAAUCUUUGUUUAGAGAGCAUUUUGCUUCGAGGAAGAAGCUUUUGUCUGAUUCUAUAACAACGACAUCAUUGAGGUUAGGAUUUUCAGACUUAUUUUGCAUACAAAUAGAAACCUAAUUGGAAUGGGAACAGUUAAUUAAAUCAUUUUCAAACCUUACAAGUAAAUUGAAAAAUACAUGGAUGUUAAGCUUCUCAACGAACUUCAUUUUUGGAGCCUUUUCCAACGAGGAAGAAGAGAUAUUGUCUGAUUUGAUUGCAAUAAAAUCAUUGGAUGUUUGAUUUAAAUGUUCCUUAUUCAUAUAUACAACAUCUGCAAAAAUUGAAGCUCUUAUUUCAGGGGGAGUACAAAUAGGAUCUCGGCGAACUUAUCAAUGGAUACUAUUGGUCUUCGUUUAUGUUGCUUCUUUUUUAUAUUUGAUGAAUU